AACGCAGCGAAAUGCGAUACUUGGUGUGAAUUGCAGAAUCCCGUGAACCAUCGAGUCUUUGAACGCAAGUUGCGCCCGAAGCCGUCAGGCCGAGGGCACGUCUGCCUGGGCGUCACGC
rnacentral:rRNA from 2 species